GGACUUAAAAUCCGUUGGUUUUAUUGACCGUGAGGGUUCAAGUCCCUCUACCCCUA
rnacentral:tRNA from 1 species